UGUUUUGAUAUUUUAGGAUCUUUUAAAUUAAUUUACUCCAGACAUCUUGGAUCAUGGGAACUUACCGGUAACAUAUAUUUAUCGGAGAUAGGAAAUAUUACUACAUUAUAUUCAUCAUACUGUUUCCUCUAGGUUCCAGUGCCCCAGUGCAGGUCUGUUCCAGUGCAGUAUAACAGGCCUGGUGUUCAGGAUGGAGGGAGAGGGAGAGGUGCUCUAUAGGACAGUCCCCUGGGACAGGAAUCUUCUAUUCCAGAGAGGCAAGAGACCUGCAGGACCUCUGUUCAUGUUUACAUGCCUUAAGGGGUCUGUCUGUCAACUACACCUCCCACACUGUCAGAUGCAUUCUGGUGGUGGAUGUGACUUCCUGUCUGUAGCCCAUGUGACUGAUGACAUCAUUGAGUUUCUCCCUCCUCUUGAGACAACAGACACACAUGUCAUAAUAUACAUCACUGGAUUCUGUCUCGGUGCGGGAGGUGAUUGAAAGGGAUGGAAUUAGAGAAAUUCUAACAACUUCUCAGUGUAAACUAACCCUGAAAAAAGAAUACACCCUCUCCACUUAUUCUGCAGAUGGACAUCGAAUACAACCAAAAGUAAAUCUGGGAUAUUUUUCAAUAACAAUUUUUUAUAUUCCUAUGUAACUUUGAAUUUCAUUCUCACUUAUCAUUUCACUGACAACAAAGGUCUCUUGAUUUCAGGAAGCAGAGUUUGUGAAAUGUGAUUCCUAUGAAAACUACUACUACCCCACAUUUCAGUUGUUCUUACAAACUAUAGUUAAAGAAGUUGAUCUGCUUCUGAA